AAGUCGCGGGAAGGUGACGCCGGAAUCCAGCGCGGCUCUGCGCCUCUACUUCCGGUCCGGCCUGGGUGCCGGGUGGCUCUCUCAUUUCCUCCAACACAAAGCUCCUGCUUACUUUUCAUCCUCCUGUUUUAGGCACUCCUACGCACCCUUUCCCCUGGAGGCUGAUGCGGCACAGAACCGCUUUGUUCCUUCCUUUAUUUUCGGUCACCCUGUUUAUGUUGAAACUUAAAAAUAACAUUAAAGGAAAAUAUGAGGUUUCAUUUUUAUCAAAGGAGGACCUAAGUUAAAUAACGAGUUGAAAAACAAUACUGAAGAAUCUGUCUUAAUGUUUUUUGUCUUCACGUUUGUUAAUCUUUUAACCAGUUCUCACUGAACAGUCCUGUGUCCGACGCUAAAGGCAUUAAUGAACCACAUGGUCCGUAGGAGCAGGGUAUCUAGGGCCUGAACGCCCCUAAGCAGGAUUAUAAUUGGAGACUGAAAUUACUUCAAGCAUUUGACACCGUCUCAGCCAUUGUGUUCUUCCUGUGAGUUUGGUGAGCUCUCCUGGACUUUGAGUACCUAUGAAAGCGUCUCUCACUGAUACUACCUGAGAAUAGGGAAGUUCAUUCAGGACUCUUGGAAAGUUUCCUUAACCAGAACUUUAGGCAGGUUAGGGAGCUUAAACUACCUCGUUCCACCUAAUUUUUAUGAAGCAUGUAUGAGUGUUCGUAUGAAUUCACUGUCAGUUUCCUAAGCCUAUAAGUUCUCUAGUACAGGGGUCCUAACCAGAGCUCCGGGUAUUCCUGAAUGGAAAUCAGUACCAUGAACUUAGGGAAUUUUUUUUUUAAAUCACAUCUUUAUUCUCAUUACCCUCUAAUUGAAAUUUAGUGUUUCCUUUCAUUAUGAAGGUAGAGUGAUAUUAUAGUGCUACCUGUAGUGCCCUUGACUUUGUCACUAAUAGAAACUAUAUUUCAUGCCACAUUUCAGUUGUGCCACAUAUCUUGAAAUGUCACUUGCUUUCAUCCCUACUUUGAUAUUGUUUGACCUAAUGCUAAAUUUUGUUAAUUAAUGUAUUAAUAAAGCUGCCAGCAUAGUGCUGUA